GGGAGUAAAAGUCGUAACAAGGUUUCCGUAGGUGAACCUGCGGAAGGAUCAUUAUUGUAUAACCGAGGUGCGAGGGCUGUCGCUGACCCGAAAGGUCGUGCACGCCCGAGUGCCCUCCCACACAUCCAUCUCACCCCUAUGUGCACCACCGCGUGGGUCCCCCUUUGGCUUGUUCGGAGGGGGGCUUACGUUUUCACACAAAUUUUGUAUGCAGUGUAGAAUGUAUUUUUUGUUUUUGCGAUCACGCAAUCAAUACAACUUUCAACAACGGAUCUCUUGGCUCUC
rnacentral:misc_RNA from 1 species